GACGAACGCUGGCGGCGUGCCUAAUACAUGCAAGUCGAACGCACUCUCGUUUAGAUUGCAGGAGUUUGCUCCUGAUUGAUAAACAUUUGAGUGAGUGGCGGACGGGUGAGUAACACGUGGGUAACCUGCCCUAAAGUGGGGGAUAACAUUUGGAAACAGAUGCUAAUACCGCAUAAAACCUAACACCGCAUGGUGUAGGGUUGAAAGAUGGUUUCGGCUAUCACUUUAGGAUGGACCCGCGGUGCAUUAGUUAGUUGGUGAGGUAAAGGCUCACCAAGACCGUGAUGCAUAGCCGACCUGAGAGGGUAAUCGGCCACCCUGGGACUGAGACACGGCCCAGACUCCUACGGGAGGCAGCAGUAGGGAAUCUUCCACAAUGGACGAAAGUCUGAUGGAGCAACGCCGCGUGAGUGAAGAAGGUUUUCGGAUCGUAAAACUCUGUUGUUGGAGAAGAAUGUAUCUGAUAGUAACUGAUCAGGUAGUGACGGUAUCCAACCAGAAAGCCACGGCUAACUACGUG
rnacentral:rRNA from 1 species